rnacentral:rRNA from 1 species
AGCAGCCGCGGUAAUUCCAGCUCCAAUAGCGUAUAUUAAAGUUGUUGCAGUUAAAAAGCUCGUAGUUGAAUUUCGGGAUUGACGUGAUGGUCGUGCCUUAAGGGGUAUGAACUGUUGCUGUUGAUUUCUCACCUUCUGGAGAAACUUGAUGUCCUUAAUUGGGUGUCUUGCGGAUCCAGGACCUUUACCUUGAAAAAUCAGAGUGUUUAAAGCAGGCAUUUUGCUCGAAUACAUUAGCAUGGAAUAAUAGAAUAGGACGGCAUGGUUCUAUUUUGUUGGUUUCUAGGAUCACCGUAAUGAUUAAUAGGGAUAGUUGGGGGCAUUAGUAUUCAAUUGUCAGAGGUGAAAUUCUUGGAUUUAUUGAAGACUAACUACUGCGAAAGCAUUUGCCAAGGAUGUUUUCAUUAAUCAAGAACGAAAGUUAGGGGAUCGGAAGACGAUCAGAUACCGUCGUAGUCUUGGACCCAUAAACUAUGCCGACUAGGAAUCAGACGAUGUUAACUUUUUAANGUAC